rnacentral:lncRNA from 1 species
CAGGUACUUCCAGCUCACCAGAGGUGUUAAAAUGGACUAUUAACUUGGAAUACAGCCUCUCCCUCUUGGGAAGUGACAAGAAUAUUCUAAUGUCAAGAUAAGUCAAGCUGACCUUGCAUUGUUACUGAAGCCGACGCUCCUCUGCCUAGUCCUUACCCUUCAUCCCGGUCCAGCCCCAACCCUUUCCUGCUGCUGAUCCUCCAUUCUCAGCUCUACACACUGGCUGCUUGCCCUUCCUGAAAUGCUCCUCGGGCUUCCACACUUGGCUGUGUCUUUCCUGGAAGCCCCUUUCCACAUCCAGCUCAUCCUGUUGGAAUUCUCCCCAGUCUUCAAGGCCAGGUUUAAAGGCCAUCUCCUCAGGAAGCCUUCCCUGAUCCUCCAGCUUCCUCCUCAGAAAGUUGACCUUCAGUGCAAACACCAAUCAUGUGCUGCUUUAAUCUGAAGUAAAGGUGUGUCUCUCACCCUUCUCCCUUCUCCUACGCAGCAGUAAUGGAGAGCUUCUGGAGACCUCGCAUAGAAGAAAUCGCUGGGGCUGCUGGGAGUGUUUCAUUGAAAAAGAGAACACUUCCUGGAGUCAUGAGUCAUGUGCCCUAAGCUUCCUUCAACUGUUAAUCAUCUAUCAGACUUUGAGCUCCUCAUGGAAACUCUACCUGGGCUUCUUUGGAGGUCCUUUACACACACACACACACGUGCAUGCAUGCAUGCACACACACACAAAUGCAUACACACACACACGCACACAUGCACACACACGCAUGCACACAUGCACACACACACACCCCUGUUCCUAGCACAAGCAGUGCCCACAUACAACUUCCUGUCUGAUGUGAAAGGUCUCUCUUUUGCACCCUCUUUGGUGGUAUGGUGGGCAGAAUUCUAAGAUGGCUUCCAAAGCUUCCUGUUCCCUGAGUGCCUGUACCCUGACCUGAAGGAUCCCUGAGACUGUGAAUAUCACAGAUUUUACUCCUGUGAUUCAGUUAUGUCAGAUGGUAAAGUUGAUCUUAAAAUAGGGAGAUGAUCUGGGUGGCCCUGACCUAAUCACGUGAGCCUUUUGAAAGCAGACCGUUUUCUUCCAUGGGUCAUAGAAGGGGAAGUCUGAGAGCUUCAAAGCAUGAGAGGGACUUGACGGUGGGUGGGUCCCGUGGCUGAGCUGGAGGAAGUCACGUGGCAAGCCCUGAGAGUGGCCUCUAGGAUUUGAGAACAGUUCCCAGCCAACAGCCAGCAAGACAAAGGGACCUCAGUCCUCCAACUGUAAGAAAGUGAAUUCUGCCAACAGCCCGAGGAAGUCUGGAAGUGGAUCAAGCCUCCAGAUGAGGACACACCUGGCCAGCACCUUGGUUUCAGCCUUACAAGAUGCUGAAAGGAGGACCCAGCUACAAUGUACUGGCCUCCUGCUGGAUGUGGAAGUUCACCCUUGUGAUCACAACUACUUGGGAGGCUGAGGCAGGAGGACUGCUUGAGCCCAGGAGUUCUAGGCUGUAGUACACUAUGCCCAUCAGGUGUCUGGACUAAGUCUGGCAUCAAUAAGGUGACCUCCUGGGAGUGAGGACCACAGGAUUGCUCAAGGAGGGUGAAUUGGCCCAAGUCCGAAACCGCAAGUAAAAAUUCUCAUGCUGAUCAGUAGUGGGACUGCACCUGUGAGUAGCCACUGCACUCCAGCCUGGGCAACAUGGCGAGACCUCAUCUCUAUUAAAACAAAACAAAACAAAAAAGGCUGCACUCCUGACCCAUGGAACAGUGAGCCAGUAAGUUGGUGGGGAGGAGUAUUUUCAUCUGCUCUGCAUGUUAAAAUCAUCUUACCUUAAUACUAGUCAGGAAAAUGCAAAGUAAAAUGACAUUAUAGCAUCGCUCUUAACCCAAUGUGAUUGUCACAAAUUCCUAAAUAUAUAAUAUCCAACGUGGGCAAGGGCAAUGGAAUAUAUAAACACUUGAAUACACAUUUGGUGGGACUGCAAAAUGAUAAGGGCUUCUGGGAGACAAUUAAAAUUUUUAAAUGGGCAUACCCUUCAAUCCAACAACUCCCCUUCUCAAUAUCUGUCCUAGAGAAAUAUACUCAGAGGCAUGUGAGAUAUAUUUAUUGUACCAUUUGGUACUAUUUAGAAACAAGUUAGAGACCUAUUAAUAGAACAGUGGUUAGAGGAGUUGUGGUAGAACCAUACUGGGAAUACUGUAGGUUUCAUACAGUGUUUUAAAACAAGGUAGCAGCUCUAAAUGGGCUAACGUGAAAAGAUCUUGUGCAUAUAUCAGUAGAUGAGAAAAGGAAUUGCAGGACAAUAUUUAUAGGCCACAUUUUAGCAACUGAUUCGGAGACACACACUAAUUACUUUUCAACAGCUCAGAAGGCACCUUACAAUCGAGGGUGGCCCAGUGCCAGUCAAACUGCAUAUCCUGAACAUACGUGAACCCUUGAAAUUUCAGUUAACAAAUCACCUUAGGACCAUUUGAGGAAGGAACAAGGAGUUCUGUCUGUUUCUGAAAGCUUUCUAUGAGAUCAAGAAAGUAUCAGCAUCAAAAAUUUUAGGCCAGGCCAGGAACGGUGGCUCACACCUGUAGUAAUCCCAGCACUUCAGGAGGCCAAGGAGGGUGGAUCACCUGAGGUCAGGAGUUCGAGACCAGCCUGGCCAACAUGGCAAAACCCUAUCUCUACUAAAAAUACAAAAAUUAGCCAGGCACGGUGGCAUACGCCUGUAGUCCCAGCUACUUGGGAGGCUGAGGCAGGAGAAUUGCUUGAACCAGGGAGGCAGAGGUUGCAGUGAGCCAAGUUCAAGCCACUGCACUCCAGCCUGUGUGACAGAGUGAGACUCCGUCUCAAAAAAAAAAAAAAAAAAAAAAAAAAAAAAAAACAUUGUAGGCCAGGUGCAGUGGCUCAUGCCUGUAAUCCCAGCAUUUUGGAAUGCCAAAGUGGGAGGAUCAAUUGAGCUUAGAAGUUCAGGGCCAGCCUGGGCAACAUAAUAAGACCCUGUCUCUACAAAAAAUAAAAAAUUAGGUCAGGCGCAGUGGCUCACGCCUGCAAUCCCAGCACUCUGGGAGGCCGAGGCAGGCAGGUCACCUGAGGUCAGGAGUUCAAGAUCAGCCUGCCCAACAUGGCAAAACUCCCUCUCGACUAAAAAUACAAAAAAUUAGCUGGGCAUGGUGGUGGGCGUCUGUAAUCCCAGCUACUCAGGAGGCUGAGGCUGGAGAAUCUCUUGAAUCCGGGAGGCAGAGGUUGCAGUGAGCUGAGAUCGUGCCACUGCACUCCAGCCUGGGCAACAAGAGAGAAACUCCGGCUCAAAAAAACAAAACAAAAAAAAUUAGGCCAAGCACAGUGGCUCACGACUGUGAUCCCAGCACUGUGGGAGGCCAAGGCGGGCAGAUAGCUUGAACUCAGGAGUUUGAGACCACCUGGGCAACAUGGCAAAACCCUGUCUCUACAAAAAAUACAAAGGUUAGCUGGGUGCAGUGGCAUGCGCCUGUAGUCCCAGCUACUUGGGAGGCUGAGGUGGAGGAUCAUCUGAGCCCAGUAGGCGCACGUUGCAGUGAGCCAAGAUGGUGCACACCACUGCACUCCAGCCAAAGCAACAGAACAAGAUCCUGUCUCAAUAAAUAAAUAAAUAAACAAAUAAAUAAAUAAAUAGCUGGGCAUGGUGGUGCAUACCCACAGUCCCAGCUACUUGGGAGGCUGAGGCAGGGGGAUUGCUUGAAUCCAUAAGGUUGAGGCUGUAGUGAGCUAUCAUCAUGCCACUGCACUCCAGCCCGGGUGACAGAUCAAGACCCUGUUUCAAAAAACAAAAAACAAAUUGCAGAAUGAGUGUUGGCAGCCAGGAAGACAAUCCCUGAGAUAGUAGUGAAGCAGUCUUUUCUUCUUUUUGUUGCCCAGGCUGGUUUUGAACUCCUAGGCUCAAGCAAUUCUCCAAUCUCGGCCUCCCAAAGUCCUGGGAUUACAAGUGUGAGCCACUGCGCCUAGCCACUUUUUAAUAUUUUAAAAGAUAAUUGCCUGUUUAAACAAAAACAGUAACAAUGUAAUGUGGGGUCUAUAACAUAUAUAGAAAUAAAAUGUACAACCGCAGUAACACAAAGAAUAGAAGAAGGGAAAUGAAAAUAAGGCUCACAUAUCAUAAGUAAAGAAACAGAACUCUAUAUAAAGGUAGACUAUGUUAAAAGUAUAUAUUGUAAACCUUAAAAAAGCCACUGAAAAUACAACAAAGAGGUAGUGCUAAUAAGCCAGUAGAGAAAAUAAAAUGGAAUCAUACAAAAUUCUACAUCACUCCAAAAGAAAUCAGGAAUAGAGGGGAAAAGAACAAAGAAAAUGUAGAAUAAAUAGCAAACAAAUAGCAAGAUGUGAGUUUUAAAACCAACUAUAUCAAUAGUUAUAUGAACUAUAAAUGGUCUAAAUACUCCACAUAGAGAGAUUUUUUUAAAGCAAGCUGGUCAUGCUGGAUGAAAAAAACAAGACCCAACUAUAAGUAGAAGGAUGGGGAAAAGAUAUACCAUGCAUAUGAAUCAAAAGAAAUGGAGUUGUUACAAUAGCAUCUGACAAAAUACAAUCAGAGCAAAGAAUAUGAUCAGGGGCCAGGCGUGGUGGCUCACACUUGUAAUCCCAGCACUUUGGGAGGCCAAGGUAGGCCGAUUGCUUGAGCUCAGGAGUUUGAGACUAGCCUGAGUAACACACAGAAACCCUAUCUCUACAAAAAAUAGAAAAAUUAGUUGGGUGUGGUAGCAUGUGCCUGUGUUCCCAGCUUCUUAGGAGGCUGAGGUGUGAGGAUCACUUGAGCCUGGGAGGUUGAGGUUGCAGUGAGCCAUGUUCGUGCCACUGCACUCCAGCCUAUGUGACAAAGCGAGACCUUGUUUCAAAAAAAAAACAAGCAAGAAGAAAUUAUCAGGAUAAAGAGAGACAUUUCACUAUUUAAUUGCUAACUCGUUAAGAGGAUGCCCAAAUCCUACAUGUAACCACAAUCAACAACAGAGCUUCAAAACACAUGUGGUCAAUUGGUUUUUUGUUUGAUUUUGUUAAACUUGUUAUUUUAUAAAGUUUUAGAUUUACAGAAAAUUUGUGAAGAUAAUUCAAAAAGAUUCCAUAUAGUUUGCAUGCAGUUUCUCCUAUUAUUAACAUCUUCCACUGAAAUGGUACAUUUGGCAUAAUUAAUGAAACAAUCUUGAUACAUUACUAUUAACCAGGGUCCAUAAUUUAUUCAGAUUUCCUUCAUUUUUACCUAAUGUCCUUCUUCUGUUCCUGGACAUUAGGUCUGUAUCCAUAAUACCACAUUCCACUUAAUUCUCAUGUAUCCUUAGGUUCUUCUUGGCUGUGACAGUUUCUCAGACUUUCCUUAUUCUGAAUGACCUUGGCAGUUUUUAGGAGUACUGGUAUUUUAUGAAAUGCCCUUCACUUGGAAUUUGUCUGACAUUUUUCUUAUGAUUAGACUGGAAAAAAGACCAAAGAGGUAAAGUCACAUUUUUAUCACAUCAUAUCAAGGGCACAGAGUAACAACAUAGCUGUUGAUGUGAACCUUGACUGCCUUGGCUGAGGCAGUGUUUGUCAGGUUUCUCCAGUGUGAAGUUACUUGGGCAAUUACUUUUUCACAAAGGCGCUAAGGUGAUUUAAUGGAGGUGACAGAAAGACUUUUCAAUAAAUGAAGCUUGAACAACUGGAUAUACUUAUGGGAGAAAAUGAACCUUGACACUUACUUCAUAGCACACGUAAAAAUUAACUUGAAAUGUAUCAUAGACCUAAACAUGAAAGCCAAAAGUAUAAAACUUCUAGAAGGAAAUCUUUGUGAUCCUGAGGUAGGCAGAUUUCUUAGAACACAAACAGCACAAAAAAUAAAUUUUAAAAUUCAUAAAGUUGACUUCAUCAAAAUUUUAAAACAACUCUUUGAAAGUCACUAAGAACAUGAAAAGACAAACUACAGAUUGGGAGAAAAUAUAUCUUUCUCCUUGAUACAGGUCUUUAUCCAGAAUAAUUUUUUUAACUCUUACAAUUCAUUAACAAGGCAAAAAAUCUAAUUUUUAAGUGGCAAAAAUUUGAACAAAUACUUCACCAAAAAAGAUAUGCAAAUGGCCGAAAAACACAUGAAAAGAUGCUCAAUAUCAUUAGUCGUCAAGGAAAUGCAACUAAAACCACAAUGAGAUCCUGUUACAUACUCAUUCGCAUGGGUAAAGUUAAAAAGACUCACAAUAUCGAGUGUUGGUGAGAAUGUAGAGUAAUGAAAAGUUUCAUUUUUCUCUGGUGGAAAAGUAAAAUGAAGCAGUGGAUGCAGUGGCUCAUACCUGUAAUCCCAGAACUUUGGGAGGCCAAGGCGGGAGGACUAUUUGAGGCCAGGAGUUCCAUACCAGCCUGGGCAACAUAGUGAGACUCUGUCUCUACAAAAAAUAAAACAAAUUAGCUGGGUGUAGUGGUAUGCGCCUGUAGUCCCAGCUACUCAGGAGGCCGAGGCAUGAGGAUUUCUUGAGCCCAAGAUUUCAAGGCUGCAGUGAGCUAUGACUGUGCCACUGCACUCCAGCCUGGGUGACAGAGUGAGACUUUGUCUCAACAAAGAAAAAAAAAGUAAAAUGAUGAAACCACUUUGGAAAAGAGCUUGAAAAAUGUUAAACAUACAUUUACUCUACAACCAAUCAAUAUUACUCAUGGGGUUUACCCAAGAAAAAUAAAAACCAAUGUCAUCUAAAGACUUGCACAUAAAUGUGCAUACCAACUUUAUGCAUAAUAGCGAAAAACUGAAAACAACUCAAGUGUCUCUUAACAGGUGAAUGAACAAAUUAUGAUACAUUCAUACAAUGGAAUAGCACACAGCACAAAAUGAUAUGAACUUCCAAUACAUACAACAGUUUGGAUGAGUCUCAAAAGCAUUAUGCUGAGAAAGACGCACCAAACACGAGAGUGUACAGACUGUAUGAUUCCAUUUCUAGAAAAGGUCACCGUAUAUGGACAGGAAGCAAUGGUGCCCCAGGGCCGAGGGAGUUGAUGUACAAGAGGGAACACUUUGGGGUGAUAGAAAUGUUCUUUAUCUCCAUGUUGGUGGUGCUUCCAUUUGUCAAAACUCAUUGAACGGUAAACUUUAAAUUGACGUGCUUUAUUGUCUUCCUUGAUUAAGCUGAUACAAUGCAGCAUCAGAAGUCAAGAAGCUCUGCUCCCGGGAGUUGACGGCAGUCCAGAGUUUUCUGUGACCCUUGGCUCUGCCCCAGGAGGUAUUCUUUUUCCAUUAUCAUUCUCUUUGGCUGAAUCCGAAGAGAACAUUUGAAAAUAUGACCUCUUAGGGGCUCAGCAGAAGACAAGGGCCUCCACUGUUGUUUUAGGUCUGGCGCAGUCAGUCUCUGGUGGCAACAGGACUCUCAAAACAUUCAGCCAAAGGCAUCUUUUAUUUCCGUUGGAGUUGCAGCAGUGGGUGUGAUUACCACACCCUUGAUUUGGUAUUUGCCACCUCGAAGAGCUUUAACCAGCCUUUGUUCCUCAGGACACUUCUUCCUUCUUCUGUUUUAUCUUCUUGAGAGUGACAUAUUACUUCUGCUGCAUUUCAAAG